rnacentral:rRNA from 1 species
CAGAGUUGAUCAUGGCUCAGGAUGAACGCUAGCUACAGGCUUAACACAUGCAAGUCGAGGGGAAACGACAUCGAAAGCUUGCUUUUGAUGGGCGUCGACCGGCGCACGGGUGAGUAACGCGUAUCCAACCUGCCCAUCACUUGGGGGAUAACCUUGCGAAAGUAAGACUAAUACCCAAUGAUAUCUCUAGAAGGCAUCUGAAAGAGAUUAAAGAUUUAUCGGUGAUGGAUGGGGAUGCGUCUGAUUAGCUUGUUGGCGGGGUAACGGCCACCAAAGCAACGAUCAGUAGGGGUUCUGAGAGGAAGGUCCCCCACAUUGGAACUGAGACACGGUCCAAACUCCUACGGGAGGCA